rnacentral:rRNA from 1 species
UACGUAGGGUGCAAGCGUUGUCCGGAAUUAUUGGGCGUAAAGAGCUCGUAGGCGGCUUGUCACGUCGGGUGUGAAAGCCCGGGGCUUAACCCCGGGUCUGCAUUCGAUACGGGCAGGCUAGAGUGUGGUAGGGGAGAUCGGAAUUCCUGGUGUAGCGGUGAAAUGCGCAGAUAUCAGGAGGAACACCGAUGGCGAAGGCAGGUCUCUGGGCAUUAACUGACGCUGAGGAGCGAAAGCAUGGGGAGCGAACAGG